ACAGCACAGCACAGCGCAGGGCCCCGCGAGGUGCGGAGAGGCCCCGAGCUCGGCCACAUCCCUAUGGAGAACUCAGAGCAGUCGGUCGGGAAAAGAAACAAAGCACAGCGCGGAGCGGAACGCUUCCCCCGGCGUUUAGAGCCGUUUGGUGAACAUUCCGUUCGGCACAACGGCGUUCGUUUCGUUCCCUCCAACCCGUGCCGCGCACCACCGCGCAGUUCGUGCUCGCUGCCGGAGUGCGCUGUGCGGGGUUCUGCGGAGGAGGUACAGAGCCGUCCUCCGGGAGCCGCCGUCGGGGCCGAUCCCGCAGCCCCGGGCCCAGCGCCGCGGGAAUCCCGCACGGAGCGGAGGGCACUGGGCCGGGCCGGGCACUGGGCCGGGGUCACUGUCGUUCUGCAGUGCUGUGCCACAGCGUGCUACAACAGCCAGGUACUCCCCCAGCUGCUCGAUGCUCCGUCCCGCACUGACUCCCCCGUAACCCGCACCAUGUGCUCAAUGCCGUUGGCACGAAGCAGUUCUGCUCGGAUUUUCUGUAUUCCCCGCGUCCUGUCAAUUUAAAACGACGCUCUAAAACCCGUGAGAGGGCUUUGGGGAACCCCCCCUCCUUUCCCCUGCGGGGUCCCGAGCGCCCCCGCCCGUUUUCGUGCCGGUUCCUAAAGGCCGGGGCGGAGGAGGCCCCGGGUGUCACGGCGAUAAAUAACGGGACGGGUAAUUGGGAGCGAAGUGCGGAGAAUUUGGGCCACACUCGAGCGAGCGGACACCGCCAUACCGCAGCGUUAAACACCGUCACUCCGACAGCUGUGCUCCCGCAGCCCCUCCCGCCGAGCACCGCGAUUGAUUUAAAAUAAAACAAAACUCGGACAUACGGCAAAGAUGUAUCCCUCCCUCCCCCACCUCUGGGCACAGCACCGACCCGAGCGCACAGAACCGCUUCCGACAAUUCGCGGCCCCGCAGACGCCGACACGGCCGACGGUCGGAGCCGCAGCGGUGCGGAUCGGUGCGGUCGAUGCGGUGCUCCGCUGCGGGGCGGUGACGCUGCUCUGCGGGAAGGAAGGGGGCUUUCAACCUCAGGCUGCACCCUCGGAUAAUGGUUUAAAAUCGUUGCAAUGCGAAUCCCACCGCUCAAAGUAAAGCGCUCGGUGUAUGUAUAUAAAUAUAUAUAUAACUAUUUUCAAUCGUGACUCUUAAAAUGACGGAAAUCGUUUAAUUGACAGAACCCCCAAAUCCGAGCGCUUGAUUUCGCACCUCCUGCCCGGCUCUGCGCCGGGGGAAUGCGAUCCUUCGCUGUUUCCCAGCCAGCUCCAUCCCGAGCGGACGCGCUGGGCACUGCGUGCCGUUCGGCAGGGCUGGGGUGAACGAACGCAGCUCCUAAUUACAAGCACUUCGUUUUCCAUCUAUUGGAAGGGAAGCUCCGGGAUCUUCUUAAAAAGAAAACGCUCCGCAUUUAACGGGUGUUCGUGUUGUUUUCCCCAGGCAAAGAGUUUAUCAUACCGUUAGAAAUGCAGGGUAUUCCUAAAGCCACCUCACUGUUCGCAAUUUGUUUCUAUUCUUUAACCAAAACGUUCGCAUUUGUUUCGGGACUCAUCGACCUCUCCCAGGGCGCACUUCACAGCCCUCCGCCGCUCACUGUCACACCGCGGCUGUGCCGAGGGCUGCGGGAGGAAUGGAGUCCUCGCGGUUCCGCAUCGCUCCCGGAGCUGCGGGCGGUUUAUUCCCGUUCUGAAGGGAAGGAGAGUUUUGUCGAUUUUCCCACCUUUCCUCCGUUAAGAUCCCAACGCAUUUCCCUGCGAGGAGCGACCGUAACGCGAAAAAUAACCAAAGAGAAACUCUCUCCCAUUGGGGUACUUCAGAAAACGCCCUGAGUGCAACGGGGAAAGCGAUUUUGUGCAGAAAGGGCGACAAGUAGGUAUGGAUUAGAUAGAAUUAUAUAGAUACAGAUAGAUAGAUAUAGAGAUAUAUAUAGAGAGAUUAGAGAUAUAUAGAUACAGAUGCAGAUAUAGAUAUAGAUGUAGAUAUGGAUAUAGAGGCAUAGAGAUAUAGAGAUGGAUAUGGAUAUGGAUUGACCCCACCGUCCCGCUCCGCCCCCGCACAGCCCCGCACCACCGGCCCCGUCCCCACGGCCUCGGGGCGGCCUCGGAGCGCUGCGGGCCCCGGCGCUGCCUUCUGCUGGCACUCGGCGUCCAGGAAAUCCGCAAAGCGGCGGGACGAGUGGAAGCCGUGACAUCACUCGGGGCAGGAGGCUUCGGGCAGAAGGUGCGGAGCUCUGCGUUCCCGCACCGAGACACGUCCGCGUCCCGCCGCCCCCGGACCUCGUUCCCUCCAAACCCUACAAACGGACGGAAAUCAUCCCCAUAGCCGCCGCUGUCCGAAGAGAUCGGUGCCUGGACCGGGAGCUGCCCUCCGUGCGGCAGCCGUGCUGCGGAACGCCAGAAGUGUACGCACAGUGAGUAGGACGCGCUGCGAUAAAACGGCGAGUCCCUCUCUUUUCUAUUUCUUUCUUUUUCUUUUUUUUUUUUUUUUUUGCCUUUUUAAAUAGUAACUAUAAAAGCGCGGAGUUCUGUUUUUUUUUUCCUGUUGUUUUCCUUUGUUUUGUGUUUUUUGUUUGUUUGUUUUUGUUUUAGUUUUCCUUCUCCCUCCUUCGCAGAGGAGGGGAGCAAUGCUCUGAAGAACAAACCCGCCGCGAGCGCCGGCGGAGGCAGCGUUGAGGCUGAGGCAGCGCUUCCAGGCACUGCCCCCUCCGCGCACCGACCUCCGUGCUGACACGGGGCUCCGCGGGCUCAGCUCGUUCAGCUGUCCCAGUCAGCGUCACGGCUUUCAGAGGGCCGCGGUUACGCUUUCCCUUGCUGACGGUGCAUGCAGAACUAUCUUUCUCCCUUCUCCACCUGGACCUGCUAUCAAACCCGAGAAAAACCAGCCAAGCAAAAGAAAUAGCGGAGUCAUCUGCAUCGCUCGGGGCAGCCUCCUGCACUGCCCUACCCAGGGGUCUCGCAGAGGAGCAGUUCUGGGGCACUAUCCGUGCCAAUGUGGUCACGGUGCUGACAUAGUGCUGGUACAGCCUUUAGCAGCCAGCUCUCCACCUGCCACAAAUGAAAUCAAUGCGUGGCUUUGAUGCACAGCUCCUACACGGGGAAAUGCUCCGAGCCCGUCGGUGAUGUGAUGGGGAGCACGAGCAGAAAUCCCUCAGUGUGGGGCUUAGGGAUGGCUGUGCUACACUUUCAGCCACAGCCAAACCCUGCACAUCACUGCCACAGCCAUGUAUAGGCACGGAGCCACAUGCAGAGCUGCAGGCAGUGAGUGCUCUCUGCCAUGGCCGGGCACAAACACACUGUGAGACAAAGGUGGGUGCACCACGUCGGUAAUUACAGCCUGUCUAAAACCACAGCCAUGGCUGUACCACCUAUUUCUAGACACUAAACAAGCCCCAGACAGAAAGCAAGGGAUUGUCCUUAUUGCGCUGGUGUUCAAUCCAAGCAAGCCCCACAUCUGCAGCCCAAUUAGAGAUGUGCUCCCUGAUAUCACAUCAUCCCCUAUGCUGUGAACAGGCAACGUGUGCUCAGGCUGCUCGCUGUGUGCCCCGUUCACUGCCUGGAAUAGGACAGUUUACAGCUCACAAAAUUAAGUUAAUGAUUAUAUCUGUGCAGAGCGGGGCCUCCAGUUUUUAACAGCAAAAUGAAGGAACAGAUCAAACCCCACAUUCCGUGGGUUUGCAGCAGUGUUGGUCUGCAGGUUCCAGCUCUCGGCUGCCGUCACACCUGGCUGUGUGUUUAUGGAGCAGCAGGGAGGUGCUGCAGGCAUUUAACACAAUAAUGGCUAAUUGAAACUUUUUAUUUCUAAAAUAACACUAUGUUUUAUAUAUAUUAAAAUCAUAUUAAAGCUGACUUGCCAGACUCUCCCGAGCGCCACUACAGCCAGUUAAAAACCCUGUUAAGAGCCAAUUAAAUAACGAAGCUUUCUAUAACAGGCGCAUGAUAUAAAACAAUUAAGUGGUGGAGGCUUUUUUCUGAUAGUUUAUUUCUCUGCCUUUGCAUUUCUGUGCAGAUCUUAUUUUAAAGUGUGGUACAGACCCACCAAAGUGCCCUCCCAGCAGAGCACUCCCAUGGAACCAAAUAGGCUGGAGCUGGAGGUGCUGCAGAGCGCACCCACUGAGCACUAAAGAAAAUCACACUAAUAAGAAAUGCUUAAAGAAAAGUUCCCAGACCGAACACCCAGGUGUCUGAAGUCCCACAGAUGGUCCCUGCAGGGUGGGCUCGGUGGUGCCAAGCUGGGCACCAAGCAGUGUGCCUGAUGUCCACGGCCCCAGGCAGCCUCUGUGGCCACCACCAGCCCAGGGCACGGCCAGCAGCUAUGGGGAGCUUCACCAGCAGAAGGCAAUGGGAACUGGGGAUCCCAGGCACAGCGCACGCAGAAGGUGAGGGUGAUUUACCACUUUGGGAUGGAAUAAUGUUUUUGGAAUAAAAUUAUGCUGCAUGGAUUAGGA